UUCGGGCUUGUCUGAGGUUCACAGCACCAUUCACGUCCUCUUGCUGAAGGGUCCCAGGCAGACCACGGGGCCCCCGACACAGUCCAACUGCUCCCCACAGACUACCUUGGGUUCAGGCUCCACUCGUCACGUUAACUCUGCAUCCACAGGCUCUAGUCCCUUAAAACAAGGCACAUGGAAUUUGCACAGGAUCCUGGAAGAGGAGUCGGGAUUCUUGGGCAACUAUCCAGGCCUGCGGCUUCCUGGUUGGAUGGCCUUGGAUGGCUCCUGCUGAGCAUGGGAGUGACCCUUGACUCCCGUAGAGUCCCUCCCAGGCCCAGCCCUGCAGAUUCACAAGAGGCCAGCAGGGUGAGUGGAAGGGCUGGCCAAACCCACGGGACCUCUGGAUGGUUUCACGCAUAGGAAAUGAUGGGAGGUGCCGGGAAGAAGUGCUGACCCCAAAACAUCUGGGCCUGCCAUGAAGCCUGAUGUCCUCCUAUUUUAGAUUUCUAUCCUGCUCUGGUACAGUAACCGGCACCCGACAGAUGCUCCGUAAACAUUAACUUGAACCCGUCCUUUCAACUGGGUGAGAUAUCUUGUGUACAUAUCUGCGUCUAUACAUAUCUACAUACAUACAUAUGUAUGCAGAGAUUCUAUUAAAUGUAAAGUCCAGUACAAAUGUUACCUAUGUUUUCCAUUAUUGUUA